AGUGAACGCUGGCGGUAGGCCUAACACAUGCAAGUCGAACGGCAGCACAGUAAGAGCUUGCUCUUACGGGUGGCGAGUUGCGGACGGGUGAGGAAUACAUCGGAAUCUACUUUUUCGUGGGGGAUAACGUAGGGAAACUUACGCUAAUACCGCAUACGACCUACGGGUGAAAGCAGGGGAUCUUCGGACCUUGCGCGAUUGAAUGAGCCGAUGUCGGAUUAGCUAGUUGGCGGGGUAAAGGCCCACCAAGGCGACGAUCCGUAGCUGGUCUGAGAGGAUGAUCAGCCACACUGGAAUUGAGACACGUUCCAGACUCCUAGGGGAGGCAGGAGGGGGGAAUAUUGGACAAUGGGCGCAAGCCUGAUCCAGCCAUACCGGGGGGGUGAAGAAGGCCUUCGGGUUGUAAAGCCCUUUUGUUGGGAAAGAAAAGCAGCAGGUUAAUACCCCGCUGUUUUGACGGUACCCAAAGAAUAAGCACCGGCUAACUUCGU
rnacentral:rRNA from 1 species